AUGGUGUUUGGUAAUUGUGCAAUUACAUCUCUUCCCUUGGCUGAAGCCUUCGCAACAUUGACAAAUCUUGAAAACCUAUCCAUAUGGGAUUGCCAAGAGCUAGUUUCAAUCAAUGGGAUCCUUGGGAGUCCAUCACUACUGUCACUGCAAAUCGAGGGAUGCAAUAAGAUCACCGCAGAUCAGUGGGUGGAUGACGCUGCUAGUUUUUCUAGCCUAUAUGAGCUUGAUAUUGACAAUCCGCUGCUCUUGCUAAGCGAGCCAUUACAAAGCAUCUCGUGUGUCAAGAAACUUAUAAUUGCUGGUGGUCCUGAACUGAGAUACUUACCUGAGGAUUGGUUACUGCAAAAUGAGGCACUAAAAGAACUAAAAGUAUCUGAUGCUUCUCACCUGAUAUGUCUGCCCCCACAAAUGACGAGUCUGAGCUCUGUCGAAUUAUUCGAUAUAUCCAAUGCGAAAUUGAUCCAGAGUUUGCCAGACAUGCCUGCUUCUCUAAGGAGUCUACGAAUAAACGAUUGCCACUCUGAGCUCAAGAAGCGAUGCCAAAAGAAUAAGGGACUUGAUUGGGAUAAGAUUGCACAUAUCUGUAACAUAGAUAUUAGCUAA
rnacentral:rRNA from 1 species